rnacentral:rRNA from 1 species
GAUGAACGCUAUCUACAGGCUUAACACAUGCAAGUCGAGGGGCAGCAUGAAAGGAACUUCGGUUCUUUUUGAUGGCGACCGGCGCACGGGUGCGUAACGCGUAUCGAACCUGCCUCAUACUCGGGGAUAGCCUUGCGAAAGUAAGAUUAAUACCCGGCGGUCUCGGAUGGCCGCAUGACUAUCCGAGUGAAGAUUUAUCGGUAUGAGAUGGCGAUGCGUCCCAUUAGCUAGUUGGUGAGGUAACGGCUCACCAAGGCAUCGAUGGGUAGGGGUUCUGAGAGGAAGGUCCCCCACAUUGGAACUGAGACACGGUCCAAACUCCUACGGGAGGCAGCAGUGAGGAAUAUUGGUCAAUGGACGCAAGUCUGAACCAGCCAAGUAGCGUGCAGGAAGACGGCCCUCUGGGUUGUAAACUGCUUUUAGUUGGGAAUAAAAAGAGGGACGUGUCCCUUAUUGUAUGUACCAUCAGAAAAAGGACCGGCUAAUUCCGUGCCAGCAGCCGCGGUAAUACGGAAGGUCCAGGCGUUAUCCGGAUUUAUUGGGUUUAAAGGGAGCGCAGGCGGCGGCGUAAGUCAGUUGUGAAAUCGUGCGGCUUAACCGUGCAAUUGCAGUUGAUACUGCGUCGCUUGAGUGCACACAGGGAUGUUGGAAUUCAUGGUGUAGCGGUGAAAUGCUUAGAUAUCAUGAAGAACUCCGAUCGCGAAGGCAUAUGUCCGGAGUGCAACUGACGCUGAGGCUCGAAAGUGUGGGUAUCAAACAGG